rnacentral:ncRNA from 1 species
GUCUUUGGGGCGGGGUGCGAUUCCUCACCGGCGGUAUAGCCCGCGAGCCGUAUGGCAUGACUUGGUGAAAUUCCAAGGCCGACAGUAUAGUCUGGAUGAAAAAAGAC